rnacentral:rRNA from 1 species
AACCUUGCGGCCGUACUCCCCAGGCGGUCAACUUAAUGCGUUAGCUGCGCCACUAAAAUCUCAAGGAUUCCGACGGCUAGUUGACAUCGUUUACGGCGUGGACUACCAGGGUAUCUAAUCCUGUUUGCUCCCCACACUUUCGCACCUCAGUGUCAGUAUCAGUCCAGGUGGUCGCCUUCGCCACUGGUGUUCCUUCCUAUAUCUACGCAUUUCACCGCUACACAGGAAAUUCCACCACCCUCUACCGUACUCUAGCUUGCCAGUUUUGGAUGCAGUUCCCAGGUUGAGCCCGGGGCUUUCACAUCCAACUUAACAAACCACCUACGCGCGCUUUACGCCCAGUAAUUCCGAUUAACGCUUGCACCCUCUGUAUUACCGCGGCUGCUGGCACAGAGUUAGCCGGUGCUUAUUCUGUCGGUAACGUCAAAACAGCAAGGUAUUAACUUACUGCCCUUCCUCCCAACUUAAAGUGCUUUACAAUCCGAAGACCUUCUUCACACACGCGGCAUGGCUGGAUCAGGCUUUCGCCCAUUGUCCAAUAUUCCCCA